rnacentral:tRNA from 1 species
GUAUGUAGCUUAGUGGCAAACACUUGCCUAGCAAGCAUGAGGCACUAGGUUCAAUCCUUAGCACCACA